rnacentral:rRNA from 1 species
CCGCACAAGCGGUGGAGCAUGUGGUUUAAUUCGAUGCAACGCGAAGAACCUUACCUACCCUUGACAUCCAGGGAAAAGCUUGUAAUGAGCUUAAUGCCUUCGGGAACCCUGUGACAGGUGCUGCAUGGCUGUCGUCAGCUCGUGUUGUGAAAUGUUGGGUUAAGUCCCGUAACGAGCGCAACCCUUAUCCUUAUUUGCCAGCACUUCGGGUGGGAACUCUAAGGAGACUGCCGGUGACAAACCGGAGGAAGGUGGGGACGACGUCAAGUCAUCAUGGCCCUUACGAGAUGGGCUACACACGUGCUACAAUGGGGAGUACAGAGGGUUGCCAAGCCGCGAGGUGGAGCCAAUCCCUUAAAACUUCUCGUAGUCCGGAUUGGAGUCUGCAACUCGACUCCAUGAAGUCGGAAUCGCUAGUAAUCG